GUGGUUGAACAGUAUGCAUUGCCAUAUACAUAACACAAAAACAAAAAGCAGCAAGCUAAACGUGCAUGGCGAGAACUUUGAACGCAGAAAACGUCAAUCAGCCACCUGAAAGUACUCUCGACACAUAAGAUGACGAUCAUCAGUACUCGAGGCAGCUAAUGUCGUCGAGAGAAACGUGAAAACUAGGGCGAAUAUACACGCGAGUAAGUUACAUUAUUGGAUAAUUAAUAAGUACAUUGUUAGGCAAAUAUACACGUCACUGCUGAGUGCUGACUGCUCGCUCUCUCUCUCUCUCUCGAUUAAAGUGUCCACGCAAGAGCCUAGUGUUAAUGUGUUGUGUUUAAUAAUUAAUAAGGACGUAUGAUUCAGGGUUUCAGUGCGUACGUACAGCGUAGCAGCUGGGGCUCUCUGCACCUCCAUUUGUUUCUGUAGAUGAAAUGAAAGAAGAGAAAUUGAAGAGAAAGCAUCAUCAAUUCACUGUCAUGUCAUUGAAGUUCGUUAAUGGCCUGGUAAAGGGGUUUAUCUUUCAGAUUUUUUAUCAGCUUCAUCAUUAUUAAUCUUUCAGGAAAUAUAAUACAAGACUGUUGAUUGACUUGCACCACUCUGUUUAGUCUUUACAAUUACCGACUCUCGAGUGCGGCCCCCCACCUUCAGUAGCUACAUUGCUUUUUCAUAUAAUUUUAGGCAACAGGGUCUCUAACUCUCACUCUCACUCUCACGUGAACACGUCAGGCGUAGUGUAGGUUCUUUGCAUCAUUCACAACAAGUUCGACCGCUCUUCAACUCUCUUUUUUUUUUUUUUUUUUUUUUUUUUUCUGUUUUAGUCUCUUUUAGUAAAUUUAGUAAAAUAAAUCAGUUUAAUUAUAAAUAAAGUGACUGGAUUAUCAACAUCAAAAUUCAAAACUUAAUCUUAGUCACUCAUUAAGCUAAGAGGAGUUAUGAAAGAAAAAAAUACUAAGAAAAGAUCAUUGUCUUAGUGAAAGAAGGUUGACAAAAGUAAUAUGUAAUGAAACAACAUACCAUUUUAUUUUCAUUUUUACCCUAAUUUUAUUAUAUUUUUAUCAUGUAAACUUCUGCUGCUAUACAACUAAUUAGAUUAUAAAAGACGGUAUGAAUCUCAUUUUCACCACCUCUACGGAUAUUUAAAAGAAAAAUCAACAUGACACCUUCUCCAAAGAAAAAAAAAUAUGGUUCAAGUGAAAAUAUAAGAUUCAAUUUACAAGAUCUUUCUAGAAAUUCUGGAUUGUGACAUUGAAUUUCUUAUUAAAUCCUUAAAUAUUUUUAGCAUAUAUAUGAAAACAUAUUGAACUUAAUUAUAAAUGUAUUGAAUGAAAUAUUAUAAUAAAUUUAGAUUUUAGUACUUGCUAUCUAUUGAAUAUCUUUUCAAAAUUCAUAAUCUUGAUUAAACUUAGUCCCUAGUCCCUACGACAUUAAAUACGUCCAGUAAUGGGAUCCACGAAGAAAGUCUCAUUGGUCAAAUCAUUUUUCAUUGAAGAUCUUUUAGAUGUCUUCAAAUCAAGAGUAAUAAAUUUAAUGUUCACAAUAAGAAGCAUAUGUAUGAGUUUGACAAGUCAGCUACGCGUGAACCAUUAUUUCUUAUAAGAAAAAUUUUUAAAUUUGGUUUUUUUGUGUGGUUCUGUCACCACUCCUAUCUAUAGAAUGAAUUAGUCGGCGUAUCUGUUUUCAUCCUCCCACGCACACCAAAAACAAAAUGAAGAAAGUAAUAAUAAUAUGCUAUUAUUAAUUCAUUUACUAUAAUUAGUUAAUUACGUUGUCUACCGUCAAAGGUGUUAGAUAUAAUUAGUUAAUUACGUUGUCGAACGUCAAAGGUGUUUGAUAUAAUUUUUUCGUUUGAAUUUGUGUAUAUAUGCUAGCUGAAAAUGAAUGUAUGCAGAAGAGACAAUCGGUGUAAUCACAAUUGAGUCGUGUCAAAUUUAAAUAAGUAGGGAUACGAUAUUUUUAAUAUUCGCAUAAAAAUUUUAAAUACGGAUAAGAACUACUUAAUAAACAAAUGAUCCUACACGAUCAACGAAUAAGAUCUAAUUACAAGAUUAGAUAAUAUACGAUUAAGACCUGAUUAUAUCGUUAAGACAUGAUACACAAUUAAACAACACGAUUAGCAAAAACUUGGUUAAAAAAUAAUAAACAACAUACAAACUUAAACUAAUCCAAGACGUAAAAAUCUAAUUAUAUAAGUCAACAAUUAUAAAUCUGAAUCAUCAGAAGACAAUAAAUAAUAAAUAAUAACUCAAUCAAAUAUAAAAUAUGACAAAUUAAUAAAUUAAUAUUCGUGUCAUAAAUAUAUAAUCGUGUUUUAUUAAUCGUGUCAAUAUUUGUCAACAUGAAUAUGAAAAAAAUCAUGUCUUAUCUGCGUUGUGGUCCAUUUUACCACCUCUAAAUGCAUACAUAUCCAAAACAAGGUCAAUUUAAUAAAAAAAAAAAAGUCUUUAAAAUUUACAGAUUCGUGUCUAACGUUUUAUGUACAAAAAAUAUAGCAGGUGAAUGGCCUGCUAUAACCUGCAUAUUUAUGUUUGAGUCUAUAUAUUACGUAUUUAUAUUUACAGUUUACAGAAAGUGAAGAUCUGAUAUGGUUGCCUGAAUAAAAACUUAUGACUAGAAUGUUCAAUAAAACAGAUAAUUAAUUCGUUUUCUUUAUUUCUGUUUUGCUUUGGAUUUAAUAAAUGUUACCCGUUAAUUAGUUACAAUUUAAUUCAUAUGCGUAUGCUUUAAUUUGCAGCUAUCGAAUCCAAAUGCUUACACAUUUUAAGUGAAUAACCACUUCCUGAAAUAUGUCGAUUUCCUCAAUUCGUGUUCAUGUAUUGAUUGGAUAAGAGGAGGACGGAAUCCAAAACUUCGCACGAUUUA
rnacentral:lncRNA from 1 species